UGUGCCUUGUGAAAGCAAAAUCUUGACAAACUACUGAACUAGAAUAGUCCAGGGUAGAAAACUAAUUCCCAUCGCAAUUCAGUCAUCUCAAGUAAAGCGCAUUGCCCAUAUAUUUUCACAACAUUGAGAUCACAUUUGCCCUCCUUAAGCUGAAUGCAGAGUCCAGAAUUUAUGAGUUUUCAAAGUCAUAAGUGUCUUUGAUCAAUCAAGAAGAGGACCUCUGAAUCAUAUCCUCUGCAGGCCAGUACGUGCGUAUGUCCUCUGCAUUGAUUAUUAAUUAUUUUAUUCAUUCUUUUACAUAUGAAAAACUAAUAAUAAGGCAAAGGAUAAAUGAAAGGCAACAAGCCUCAUGGAGCUUCUUUCUUCUCCUUUUUAACUCAAUAGGGAAUCAUCUCAGCAUGAAAAAUAAUCUGAAAGCUUUGUAAAUGAAAAUUAACAGCAAGAAGACACAAUAACAAGAGAAAAAAAGGGAAUUUAACAUGAGCAAACAGAGCUGAGACGGCUCCAAAGACUAUAAUUAUCAUAAUCAUUGAUGGAAUAUGCCUCUGUUGCUGCUGAAAAAUAUGCUAAAAUAAAAUAAGUUAGGAGAGUUGUUACUAACAAAGCUGUUAUUGACAGCACUUCAGUUGAUUAUUUGAAUGCUUGAUUUUGGCAGAGUUUCAUGGAUUUAGUUGCUCAAACUCUUGUAUAAAUAAUGCAUUCUAUCAAUAAUAUAAGAUUAGACACUUUCGGUAAGAUAAGAUGAGACUGAAA
rnacentral:misc_RNA from 1 species